CACCACUCAAGCCUCGCUUGGUGUUGGGCUCCGCGGUCACACGCGCGCCCCAAUAGCACCGGCCGGUCACCCGAACUCCGAGCGUAGAAGCAAAACACUUUCGCUCACGAGCCGAGGGGAAUCGCGCCGUUAAAACCUCCAUCAAA
rnacentral:misc_RNA from 1 species